GGGCCCAAAAGUGAGUGAGUCCAAAUGACUCCAAACCCAUGCACCAAUUUAACCUUACCCUAACCAUUUCGAGUUAAGAUUUUGGGCUUCCGAAUGUGCCCAGCACACACAAUUUCAGCAAAUCACAUUUGUAGUACUGUAAAAAAACUUAAUUUGGUAUAGGAAUUUUAAACUAAUAGCUACAUAUCCAUAUGAAUCAAUGAUUGGAGACAAUAUUAAUAUCCCUCCCCCUGAUGAUUAUCACAACAUAAUCAGUUGUAGUGGAACUAAGAAGGAACAACGAAAUAAUAGUAAAAAUGAAUUAUUAUAACAUUGUUCAUCCUAAUAAAAUCAAUACUACAACUUCUUUUACAGCUUAAUCUGACUUUACCACACGUAAACAUAAUUACUCCAAGCUCGAAAACUCCUGGGUUGAAUAUCAACAAUUAUCAUGGAAGACAUUUGUUAUCAGAAAUGAGUAGGCUACUGCAAUUUUAGCAUGUUAUAUGGAAUUUUAGGCAUACAAUGAGUAGGAAAAUUAAAAAAUAACACAGUAUAUUCAACUUAUCACUCAAAAAUAGAUUUCAAACAAUAAUCAAACAAACACAACUUGAGGGAUAUCAAAUAAAUUAGCAACAAUGAAAAUCAAAGCAAUUAACAACUUUGUGCUUCAAAUAAACCACAUUUCCAUUAUUUGAUCGAGAAUGGUACCUGGCUUACAACAUAAUAGACAAAAAGAAAAUAAAUCUCUGAAGUUGGGAAGGAGUAACAUGAAGAACAAACAUAGUAGCAGAAAACAACAUACAACAGCUUUAAACCUUACUCCCAAAACUCCAAAAUAGAACCAAUGGAACUAUGUUGAUGAAUUCUGAUUCCUACUUUCAGAAUAUUUUUUGUGAGAAGAAACAAGUGAGGGUGAGUGUUGAUUCUCUGAUAAUAUAGAAAAAAUAAAAGUGUAUGCAGAUUGAGAGUAAUGAAAAAUUCUCCGAAGAAAUGUCAAAAUCUGUGUGUGUGUUGUGUAGAGAGUCAAGGAAUAUAUAGGAGACUGUCAACCGUAAAAAUAGAACAAAAAUAUCUUUUUCAAUCGAUUUUUAUACAAAUGUCACUUUUUAGUUAUUCUUUCAUCCUUUUUAAACCUUAGUAUUUUUUGUAUUCACUCUUCAGCCCUAACACCUGGCCACCUUAUUUUCUUUCUUUGCAAAUUGGCCCCUCCUAGAAGCUUCCUAAAUAACUAAACAAGAUUCCCUACUUUUGGUAUACCCUUUAGCCCCUUCAAUUCCUGUAUUUACUAUUUAUUUCAGAUUUAAAACCUAAAAGCAGACUAAGACUUAGAUCCUAGUUAAAACGAGCAAAUGUUAAACAUAACUGAUUAAGAAAUUACUAAUUAAUUAAGACAGAACAUUGGCAUUUAAUUAAUUUCUAAGAAAACAAAAUGCGAUUUAAACUACCAAUUUUGCCUAAACAUCAUGAUUAAGGACUAACAAAAUCACUGAUAACCUACCUCUAAAUAAAUUUGAGUCUUGACCAAAUGAAUUUCAAAAUACAAAUACAACUUGCCAAUAUUAACAAUUUAAAUCAAUCAACCAAAUGAGUUCAAUCGAAGAAAUUAAUCCUAAGUAAAACCUAAACAAAGUGAUAGAUCCACGAAAAACAAAAAUUUCUAACCUAAUGCAAAUAUCUCAAAAGUGGGGAGAGGAUGAAAAAGAGAUUACCUAUUGAAGCUCUAUUAAUAUGGUAGAGAAAACCUUCCAGAAGAAUUGGCCGGCCAACAGCCAGCUAACUAAAACGUGACUUCCGAGAAAUGGGAUGAAACUCACAUCAGUGGACAUCUCUUGUAAAGAGCUUUCUGCUAAUGUGAGUCUCAACCAUAAAAGAGGACGGAUUGUUUGAGGUCAUGAAGACAGAUUGCAUGGCAGCUAGGGUUUGGUUUUGAGAUUUGAAAUUUGAGAGAUUAAGUGAGUUUUUAGCAAAAAUUAACAGUGGGAUAGUCAUGGGGAGAUGAUAGAGAGAUUGUAUGGUGGGAGUUUGGGUGGAUUUGGGGUUGUGCACUGGUAGGGGUGGUGGUAGGCAGCUAGGGUUUGAAAGGAUUUGACAAAAGAGGAAAUUAAGGGCUUCUAUAGGGUUAGGGGUAUUCGGACAGAUAUAAGGGAAGGGGGAGGUCAGUUCUGGACCGUAGGAUCAGAUUAGAUGAAUGGCCAUGAUCAUCUGUGACCAAAACGGCGUCAUGUGGAUUUGGAAGGGGUCUAGGCCAGGUAAUGGGAGUGGGUUGGACGGG
rnacentral:lncRNA from 1 species